rnacentral:rRNA from 1 species
UACACUCCUGCGGGAGGCAGCAGUGGGGAAUAUUGCACAAUGGGCGCAAGCCUGAUGCAGCCAUGCCGCGUGUAUGAAGAAGGCCUUCGGGUUGUAAAGUACUUUCAGCGGGGAGGAAGGCGAUAAGGUUAAUAACCUUGUCGAUUGACGUUACCCGCAGAAGAAGCACCGGCUAACUCCGUGCCAGCAGCCGCGGUAAUACGGAGGGUGCAAGCGUUAAUCGGAAUUACUGGGCGUAAAGCGCACGCAGGCGGUCUGUCAAGUCGGAUGUGAAAUCCCCGGGCUCAACCUGGGAACUGCAUUCGAAACUGGCAGGCUAGAGUCUUGUAGAGGGGGGUAGAAUUCCAGGUGUAGCGGUGAAAUGCGUAGAGAUCUGGAGGAAUACCGGUGGCGAAGGCGGCCCCCUGGACAAAGACUGACGCUCAGGUGCGAAAGCGUGGGGAGCAAACAGGAUUAGAAACCCGAGUAGUCCCA